UUUUUGAAAAGAUCUAAGAAGCCCAAACAUUUUUAAAAAUGCAAAUUGGAUAGGAAAACUCCAACAAACACUUGUCCGUGGGGAGCAACGGACGGGCCAACAGGCACCCAGUAUGCAGUAUCGAAUGUUCUACUGUCGAUAGCUUGAUACUAUCGUUUAUUAAAUGUGCUACAAUCGAUAAUAGAACAAAGAAGGAAAGAAGACUAUAAGAAAUUCGAUAUUCGUACCGCUGUUCAAUACUCGAUUCUAUAACAGGGUUUUGCUUUUUUUCAUUUUUUGAAAAUGCUAUUGUUGUAUUGUAAUUUCUAACCUAAAAGCUAAACCAUAAUUACUUGAAGACUCAUCAUUAGGUCAUUAAAAUUGCAAAUAAAUAAAAAUAUUUUGCAAUUUUCCAUUAAAAUACUGAUUAAUUAAAAAUAAGUUUUAAAAAUAAUAAGAUUCACUGAGAUUUACAUCAUACAUUUAGAGUCGCAGUAUCUUCAAAGUGAUGGACCGCAUGAUGUACUUUUGCCAAGUGUUUCAAAAUUUCCAUAUCACCAAUUAAAGUUGAUAUUGUGUGGCACAAAAGUGAUGCAUCCACCUAUCAUCUGUUUUUAGCCAUCAUAAAUGAACAUAUUGAUUUCUUGCACAUCAUGAACGAGAGUGGAAUGCCAGGACCUCGCCGAUUUUUCAUGUAGCCGAGUUGCAAUCCUGGCUUUUUCUCCCGAUUCAUCUACCAUUGAAGACUCUCAAGUUUAUCACUUUCAUCACGAGCAAUUUCAAGAAGAAUAAUUCUCUCGAGGUAACACUGAUGCGGCAACAUAAGUGCUAACUACAGCUACAUGUCAUGAUUAGCAAUUCAAGUAAAAUGGCACCCCAUCACGUAUGUGAGCUAUGUGAGAAGACGUUUGCAACGGCUUUCACUCUUCGGAGACAUUGCAUCCGAAAGCAUGCUUCAGUUUUUCCUCGUCGUCAGCUUCCUCGUUUUUCAUAUAAAUGUGGCAUAUGUAGUAAGGAUAUAGGUAGCAGCUCAUUCCCGAGAUUUGUAUAUCAUUUAAAUGAAAAUCAUGACAUUACAGUAGAAAGAGAAGAACUUGAGUUCAAUUGCCAAGAAGAUUUUGAAAUUUGGAGAAAGUCUGUAGAAAAAAGAAGUUAUUUUGUAAAAUAUCGACAAAACUACAUUAUGGACAGCAGCAAUGCUGUAAAGUCAUAUUUCCGUUGCAAUCGAUCUGGCAUCUAUAAGGGCGAGACUUCGCCUACAAAGAGGAAACGCCACUUGAAAAGUCAGGGGUCAUCAAAAAUAGGCUCCUUUUGUCCUGCUGGAAUUCGAGCCACAACUUAUAAGAAUGGCAAAAUAUCUGUUGAAUUCAUAAAGACUCAUGUUGGACAUGAUUUGGAGCUUGCACAUAUCCCACUUCCAAUUGAGGACAAACAGCAAUUAGCUUCUAAAAUUGCUCAAAAAAUUCCAUUUGAUACAAUUAUUGAUGAUUUACAUGCAUCAGUGGGUGAUGAACUAGAAAGAAAGCAUCUUGUAACAAAGGAAGUCCUGCGAAACAUUAUUAAAGAAUACUCGCUAGACAAAGAAUGUGUUAGGCAUCCAGAUGAUACUUUGAGCAUUGAAGCGUGGGUUGAAAAGAUGAAGGGUAGUGAAAAUAAUUGCAUCAUACUGUAUAAGCCUUGUGGAAUUGUGUCCCCUGAUCUACCUCAACUGAAAAAGCAAGACUUUGUGUUGGGUAUAAUGACCGAAGCACAUUCAGAAAAGCUGAAAAAGUAUGGAGGAGAUUUCAUAUGCAUUGCUUCUAACCAUGGAACAAAUGCCUAUCAAUUUGAGAUGUCUACCAUUCUUGUACUAGAUGACCUACGGCAAGGAUUUCCCUGUGCAUUUUAUUUUUCCAAUAGGAAUGAUAAUUUAGGAUUUGAAUUAUUCCUUAGCAAUGUCAGGAACCGGAUUGGAAUGAUAAAUACGAGAACGUUAAUGACUGAUAUGCCAGAUGUUUUUUAUAACUCAUGGCAAAAUGUGAUGGGUUUAGUAGAACAAAGACUGUACAGCACGUGGCAUGUGCAAAAGGAAUGGCAAAAGAGAAUCAAUACUUUCAAGAAUAAGACUAAGAAAGAGGAAGUUUCAAAGAAACUAUUCUCUCUGCACUUCGAGAAAGAUGAAAGAACUUUUGAAAUGACACUUUCAGCUACAAUUAAUGACUUGAAAAGCGAUAAAGACACUUUUACAUUUUCCAAAUACUUUGAAGAACACUUUUUGAAAAAUCCUCAAUUAUGGGCUUACUGCUACAGAAAAAAUGUAGGGUUCAACACCAAUAUGCAUCUAGAGAGACUUCAUGGCAUAUUCAAAAAAUAUAUUUGAAAGGAAAAAUGGCCAAAAUAUUGGAUGUAACUGUGCAUGCGCUAAUGCGACUUAUUGAGCGCAAACUCUUCGAUCGUUUGAUCAUAAUGCCUAAAGGUAAGGCAACAAGCAACAUUGAAAACUCUAGAGAUUGCCACACAGAGUCGCUGUCACUUUCACUCGAUCAGACAGAGGAUGAUUCCGAUGAUGAGCAGUUAUCAGUCAUCAGUCAAAAAUCAACAGAUACCGAUCAUUCAAAUUCAAAUGAAGCUGUGGAGGAAGAAUUCAUUACAUCAGCGUCGAAGAAACCGAAAUUGGAUAAUGAUGAAGUUGAAGCAGGUAUAAGAGAGCUCCAAAAUUGUUUCGAUGACCUCCUGAAUCAAUGUCGUGAUAAUAAGGAGUUGAUCGAUUCGUUGAACAAUUAUUUAAAAAUGUGGGAUCCCAAUAUUGUAUUUUGAAAAAAUAAGACGUUAGCAUUCCCAGAGAAAGAGAAUACAAAUAUAGAGGCACCACAGAGUUCACAGAUUUUCUAUGGUAUUGCCAUUAGAGGGAACAAUAGUGCCAGUCAGUCAACUCCAUACUUCAUUUCAAAAAUCUUUAUUCUGUUUGCUACAUUGGUUUCCAAUCCAAUAGUAGUUUUCUACAUUCUCUAUUGCGUUGCCAUAAUCACAAACAAGUUAAUAACAUACAUAUUUGCUUGACUAUUAAUUUUGUAUUCUUUUUUUUGAUUUCAUAAUAACAUCAUUUCUUACCGUACAAUAAAUAAUCAAAAUCAGUUGAUUUAUAUGCCCGUAUUGCAUUAGUACACGAGGGAAGGACAUCAGAGGUGUUGGUGAUUGAAGCAAGCUGGGACACCCAAACCCACACACCAAUUCUACCAAUAAUAUUGAGCCACGCCCCGUUAAAAUUUGACGCUCUAAACUAGGCGCAGUGUCUAGUAAGGACUAGUCAAGGACCUGGUAAGGACUUUUUCACAUCCACAGUACAGCGGUAUAGAAUCUAUACUCUAUUAAAUGACGCUGCCAACCAUCGAUAGCUAUCCACUAGUUUCACGUUUCUGGUUCAUUUGCAUGUUCCACUGAUGUCUGUCUGGUCCUCGUGGUUCAUCCUCUCAUAUCUAGUUUCUGUGUAAAAGUACGUGCCUGUGAAGUGUGAACACAGUGAACGGUUUUAUUAUUACACCUAAUGUGUCCAUUAUGAUUUCUUUAAAUUAAAGUCAAGAAAAAAUUGAGAACACACGAAAGCGAGAUUACUAUGAUUGUGAGAUUGAAGUUUUUUUAUUUUAUUGGGUGAAAACUUAUAACAUGUAACCUUGGAUCAUUGCAUCAUUGUUAGAUGCAAUUUGACUAUGAUGCCUAAAAUUUUAGAGUUUUACAAAGGCCUGCAAAACUUAAUCAUUCUAUGAUUAUCAAUUAUAUAACUAUUUCUAAGAGUAAGCUAUCUAAUAAAAGACUAACAACGUUUGUUUAAGCAUCCUUAGCACUUAUGUUACUGCAUUUAAAUGAAAUAAGACACUUUUUCAGAAGUUGUAUGGUGUAACUAACUUGUGACACUUUUUCAGAAGUUGUAUCGUGUAGCUAACUUGUUUCAAGAGUUAAUCAAAUUGGAAUUAGUUAAUUAUCAAAUAUUGGUUUUAUGAUUAAAUUAUUACUUGAAUACUUGCAGUAUUAGGCCUGAGCCCAAACACUUCAACUCAACAAUUCUACUCAUUUGAUAAAGAAUAAUGUAAUAAAACAUUUUCUGGAUUUGAAAAUUCUUUGGCCAGUUGCAAGAUAAAAUUUAACAGAAUUUUGUGCAACUAGGCCUCAAAUGUUCAAAAUUGAGUCCUUGUUCUUUAAAGCUCUGAUGAUUCAAAGACUCUGUUAUUAAUAAAUAAUCAAGCAUUUAAUAUGGGUUGUCUACAAUAACAUAUCAAUAAUUAAAAAUUUUUAUUCCUUCAGCAUGCAUCAAUUACAAUUUAUUUUAAAAAAAUGCAACUCGUCUAGACAAUAUUUCGUUUGGAUAUGUUAUAUAAUAUCAUAUCAAUAUUCAUUCCUUUACAUCAAUUAUAAAAACUAUGCAGCUUCUUAAGUUUACUUCAAAUUUUACACAUGUAAACAUGCACUAGCAAUAGACUAGGCUUGUGGUGUUGUGUUUGUGGACGAGAGUGGAUAGAAGAUAGCUAUCGAUCAAUAUCGAAGGUUGGCAGUGUCGUUCGACAGAUUAUUGAUUCACUAACGCCGUUCUGUAAAUAUAAAGUCCUCGCCAGUUGACCCAGUCCCUUGAGUCCAGACUGAUUUUCCAAGCUCCAAAAUUACGGUACCAUUCGGACACCGUAACCUAUAAUCAGUUGGGCCAGACACCAAUAUCCAGGACCCGGCUGGUGUCCUUAUUCCUAACAAAACGAGCACAUUAACUAUACUGUGCUGUCUCGCGACACGCUUUUAGCUGCCUGGUGUCCUAAAACUGUAGUACACUGGUCAUAUACUUGAGCUUGGACAAAAUGCUAAAUACGGUACUAGUAGUUGAGUUUUUACCUCGGGCAUUUUUAAUUGCAAGGUUGAUAACUAUGUAUGGUACUCUCUCAUAUGGGUUAAAAAUACGAUGGAGUGGGUGAAGGUACACUACACAUAGCUACUAUAUUUUUAUAGGUAACGUACACGUCUACUAUCUUGAGAGUACCCAAGGUAGCUAGAAUACAUUUUAGGUAUUUUAGAAUGUAUUUCAGAUAUAUUGAGAGUACCGUACCUAAUCAUUUUUAUUAAUCAGUUGAUUGAUGAGUAUCAAUAUUAUAGUAAUCAGCCGCUAAUUUUUCAGCCGAAUAUUAUCCGAAUGUAGAUAAUAAGCUGAAGAAGAACAGCUGCUAACCUCUAAUACCGGUAGCACUCCUCUUUGGAGUCCACAAAAAUCUCAAAUCGAAAUUAUUUGUUGUUUUUAUAAUUUAGUCUCAGAAAAUUCAAAUUAUGUAUAGAAGUUUAAUUUUUAGGCAUUUUCUUUCAUCAACAAAUAAGCAACACAUUUUUAGGUAUGUAAUACAAUCUCCAACUGAAAUGUAUGAGUUCUCUUUACUUUCAUCACAUCUUCAAAGCAGACCUUUAUUUUCAUGGUUAAAAUUGCAGUGGCGAAUAGCAUCUUUGAAGAAUAAGUGGGACCAUGAAUUUGAUAAGGAAGAGUUCCUAACAGGUACUAAUCAGGCGGUAGUCACUAUAACUAAUAAGAUCCAAAAAAACGACUUUGAAAAUUUGAAAGGUCUUAUAGAAGAGGAAGCCUUAUCUAAAUUGAAAUUGGAAUCGAUUAUGACAUGGCCUGCAUUACUUAAAAAUAAUGUAGGCAUCCAUCACAGGCAUAUAAUGUCAACAAAGCUCAUUGACCUAAGGAAAACUUUACAGAAGCAGGAGGAUAAACCUGGACUGGAAAGAAGACUUUGUGAAAUAGAUGUGCUGACCCUUGCGAUGAAGAAGAUAUUACUCAAAGAGCGUACUCAUGGUCUUCUAUUAUUCAAUGUUUACACAAGUUUUUUCAGAGAUUUUUCUCCGGAAAUAGUACCAGAAUGGACCGUUAAUUCAUUUGGAAUCACCGCAGUUGUUAUACCACCUCAGCCUGGAUUGGACAUUCCACAAGAUAAAUAACAUUUAAAUACAACAAGCAAAAAAUACAUCGAAUACAGUCGAAUUAACUUGUAUGUUAACAAUUAUUUUUUCAAAAACUUGACGCAAAUAAAAGAAAAAAUAAAAUGUACUUUGUUGCAUAUGAAUAAAAAUGUUUACUUUUUAUACAAACCUCGGUGUAAAACCAGAGAAUACCUAUAGAAUGUAAUAG